rnacentral:rRNA from 1 species
UAUGGAGGGGGCUAGCGUUGUUCGGAAUUACUGGGCGUAAAGCGCACGUAGGCGGCUUUGCAAGUUAGAGGUGAAAGCCCGGGGCUCAACUCCGGAAUUGCCUUUAAAACUGCAUCGCUAGAAUUGUGGAGAGGUAAGUGGAAUUCCGAGUGUAGAGGUGAAAUUCGUAGAUAUUCGGAAGAACACCAGUGGCGAAGGCGACUUACUGGACACAUAUUGACGCUGAGGUGCGAAAGCGUGGGGAGCAAACAGG